AGGACGAACGCUGGCGGCGUGCUUAACACAUGCAAGUCGAGCGGAAAGGCCCUUCGGGGUACUCGAGCGGCGAACGGGUGAGUAACACGUGAGUAACCUGCCCUAGGCUUUGGGAUAACCCUCGGAAACGGGGGCUAAUACCGGAUAUUCAUUCUUGGCGGCAUCGUCGGGUGUGGAAAGUUUUUCGGCCUGGGAUGGGCUCGCGGCCUAUCAGCUUGUUGGUGGGGUGAUGGCCUACCAAGGCGACGACGGGUAGCCGG
rnacentral:rRNA from 1 species